rnacentral:rRNA from 1 species
AUUGAACGCUGGCGGCAUGCCUUACACAUGCAAGUCGAACGGUAAUAGGUCUUCGGAUGCUGACGAGUGGCGAACGGGUGAGUAAUACAUCGGAACGUGCCUAGUAGUGGGGGAUAACUACUCGAAAGAGUGGCUAAUACCGCAUGAGAUCUACGGAUGAAAGCAGGGGAUCGCAAGACCUUGUGCUACUAGAGCGGCCGAUGGCAGAUUAGGUAGUUGGUGGGAUAAAAGCUUACCAAGCCGACGAUCUGUAGCUGGUCUGAGAGGACGAUCAGCCACACUGGGACUGGGACACGGCCCAGACGCCUACGGGAGGCAGCAGUGGGGAAUUUUGGACAAUGGACGAAAGCCUGAUCCAGCAAUGCCGCGUGCAGGAUGAAGGCCUUCGGGUUGUAAACUGCUUUUGUACGGAACGAAAAGCCCCGGGUUAAUACCCUGGGGUCAUGACGGUACCGUAAGAAUAAGCACCGGCUAACUACGUGCCAGCAGCCGCAGUAA